rnacentral:lncRNA from 1 species
AGCCCUCCAGGUCUCCUGCUAGGGGACGUUGUAAAUGAGGAAUCAAAGCAAGGAGUCUGUGAGUGGAGCAAUGAACUUCGGCAGGGGGAUAACUGUUGUUCUGUCAGGACUUUUGUCACAACUAUGCAAAAUACAAUGCCAGGCCUGGUGGAGCAGGAUCCUCCAGGAUCCAGGAGGCAAGCGGAUCUCUGUGAGUUCAAGACCAGCCCUAUCUGCAUAGUGGGUUCCAAGACUGCCAGGAAUACACAGGCCUCCCCUGUCCUGGAACUCUCUGGUGGGGGUCACUCCUGCCUCCACCUCUAAAAUUCUGACUCACGCCCAGGACCAAUGUGCUCCUCACUGUGCUGCAGAUUUCGGGCAUUCAAGCAAAAAUCAGGACAGAGCCAGGUGUGGUGACACACCUGUAACCCCAGCAUUUUAGAGGCUGUGGCAAGAGGACUGAGUGAGAGAGCAGCCAGGGCUGCAUGGCGAGCCCUGGUAUCAAGAAACCAAAUGGAUUAACAAUAAAGUCUCAAUGGGCAAAAUGACCCCUGAGACAGACUAUCCAAGGACUGUGGUGACAAAUGCACCCAGCCAGUCAACCCAACCUCUCUGCCAUUUGCAGUCAGAGCAGGUUCUGGUAAGUGCAGUGGCUCCUCCAGGUCUCCUCAUCCCUCCACUCUGAGGUCCCCAUCACA